rfam:Myotis lucifugus cont2.21983, whole genome shotgun sequence.
CUUGGGGGAAGGAGGGGUCCCUCAGCCCGGAUUUUGAGAGGGCGCAGGCCAGGCCGAGGGACCCCACUGUUACACA